rnacentral:rRNA from 1 species
UACGGGGGGGGCAAGCGUUGUUCGGAAUUACUGGGCGUAAAGGGCUCGUAGGCGGCCAUCUAAGUCAGACGUGAAAUCCCUCGGCUUAACCGGGGAACUGCGUCUGAUACUGGAUGGCUAGAGGUUGGGAGAGGGAUGCGGAAUUCCAGGUGUAGCGGUGAAAUGCGUAGAUAUCUGGAGGAACACCGGUGGCGAAGGCGGCAUCCUGGACCAAUUCUGACGCUGAGGAGCGAAAGCCAGGGGAGCAAACGGG